UACGGAGGGGACUAGCGUUGUUCGGAAUUACUGGGCGUAAAGCGCACGUAGGCGGAUCUUUAAGUCAGGGGUGAAAUCCCGAGGCUCAACCUCGGAACUGCCUUUGAUACUGGGGAUCUCGAGUCCGGGAGAGGUGAGUGGAACUGCGAGUGUAGAGGUGAAAUUCGUAGAUAUUCGCAAGAACACCAGUGGCGAAGGCGGCUCACUGGCCCGGAACUGACGCUGAGGUGCGAAAGCGUGGGGAGCAAACAGG
rnacentral:rRNA from 1 species